rnacentral:lncRNA from 1 species
GUUAAAGUGUUUAAAUCUCUCUUGAACAAACACAGCCACAGUCAUGCUAUUCUAUCUAUAUUUUCACUUAAAAGAUACACCAGCAGACCUAUUUUAGGAGGUCAUAUUGAGCCAAAAAAUGAACUGAGCAAAUGACAUUUCCAAACUCUUUUUUUGCUCAAAAAUAAUAUGUUCCCCUUUGAUAUUAAAUGCAGAUAUCAAUUCUGGAUUAGCUAUUUACUGAGCCCUAGGAAAAACAUAUUUAAAGACAAGGAAACCAUUCAUUUACAUCUCAUAUCAUUGCUUUUUGCUUUUAAAUAUCGCCUUGAGGUUUGUCUACACUCUGCCAAAACAAUCCCUGAACAUAAGUUUGGUCAGCCUCAUAAUUCAGUGAGUCGAGCAACCAUUUGUUCCAAGUGAUAAAUUGUACUAAAUGACAAACUGCCCAAUCAGGGCAGAGCUCCAUGGACCCAGCCUCCAGCCCUUAUUUUAUAAGACUAACCCCUCUUCUGAAAAACUCUGAAGGCUUAAAAGCUAGCAUUUGGAUGGAGGAUACUUCCUUUUUAUCCUUCAGCUAUGUAUGGCACUUUACAUAAAAUAAGAGGUAAAAAAGGAGAGAAACUGAUGUGUAUAAAGUAAUGCCUUUCUUCCCAAGCAAAUCAAACCUCUCCCUAUGUAAAAGUUGAUAGUGUACCAAGAGACACAAUACCACUGGUGGGCUGGAACUAGCUCGUUCUGAUGCAUAAAAGUUGAUAAUUAAAGUACCAGAAAUUUUGUAAGCUAGUUGUUAAACAUUACCAUUAUUAAAUAUGAAAUUAUAAAACACAGUGGAAUACAUUAAAAACCAAUGUAAUAAUCAAAACAUACCACUUCCCAAUUAUUUUACUACCUUAUACUAUUUAUUAGUACUCUUGAGUCUAUUUAGGUCUAUUACAUCUUUACAGUGAAAACAGGAUACAAUAUUGUGCUACUGUGGGUCUCUUCCUGACUGCAGAUUCAGUAACAUGGUGUUCGUAGCUUGAAACUGUCCACAGUGGGAGUAUUUAACACCAUAGAAACUGGCUGGCAAAUGCUACAAACUAGCAAUUUUAAUUCCUGGAAAGGCAAUUGUUGAGCAUUUACCAGCACACAAUGAAUGCCAUAUUCUUUUUUUUUUAUUAGGAAAUAAAUUAUUGGAGGCAGUAUAAAAUUAUUUAAAAAGUAUCAAAUGCAAUCCCUUAUCUUCAGAUGGCUAUAAUUUUGGUUAUAUAAAUGUUUUGGUUUUUACCUUCUUUAAAGACUCCUAUUAGGUUAAAAGUCAUAUUUGAUGACUAUAUUUUAUUCAUAAUUAAAUUAUUAAAUCACCUUUUCUCCUGAUAAUGCUUUGCCAGAGAAUUCUUAGCAAUUCAACUGUAGUCUAAGCAAUAACUCAGGGCUAAAUUCAGGGAACUGUUAGCCCAAUCAGAUAUCACUAAAAAUGUACUUCACCAUCUAUUUUGGAGUUUAUAAUUUUGGCAUUUGCUAAAAGUAGGAAAAACAGUAACAUAUUACUGUGCCCAGAUUCUAAUAAAUAUAGCUCAAUUGAAACCAAAACUGUUACAUUAAACAAAUUACACUCUGGCACUAUGCUAAAUCACCACAGAUGUUUUAGGUGUUUGAUUUCCAAGCAGGAUGGUAUAUCAUUUGUUUGGUUCAAUAUAUGAGGCACCAUUUGUAGUCUUUUAGGAAAUAAAUUAGCUUUUAUCACAGAUUUAGGAAACUUGUCUAAAAAAACUGUGAUCAUCAGUUACAGAGGGAAGGAAACAUAUUGAACACAAGGCAUCAUAGUAGCUGGAGGCCUUAAAAAUUAUGCACGACCAAAAAGAAUGAUUUGGUGAGAGAUGUGUAGCUGAUUGACAAUUUUAGUGUGAAUUCAUAUUCAUUUAACCCAGCAGCAAUCUACAUAAGCUAUGCUUUUUCCCACCUGUAUUUAUGUUUCUUAGCUUAUAAAGUCCCAAUAUAUUAUAUCUUUUGUUGCUUUGGCAGUUUUAAUUUAGAGCUCUGCGUUCACAGAGAUGCCACCUAUAGCAAAAACUAUCUUUAAGAAUUGGAAAAUAAAAUGAAUGUUUUAGAUAAAAUAUUGCAAGCCAUUAUGUGUAGAGUUAAUGUAUGGAAAUUUGCAUUUGUUUUUCUGAAUCAUGGUGUACAUUAAUCACUCAUUGAAUUCUAUUUCUAAGCAAAUAAGAGAAUCAAACAUUUCUAAAAGGAACAUAUGUCUUGCUAUUAAUAACAAGGAGACAGGAAAAAUAGUAAGGUAAUAUAAGCAAAAAAAAAAAUGUAAUGAAUUUAGCUAUCCUAAAUUGGAAUUUUUACAGAUUGCAUGCAUACUUAGAAUUUUAAAUUUUUAAAAGAUUUACAAUUGAGUAUGGUACCCACAGAGAGUGAGUACCAAGGGAAGGAAGACCUAAUACAAGUGAUGUUGCCUGAUAAAUCACAUCUUGCCAAAAAAAAUAUAUUUUAGUAAAUACAGUUCUUUAGGAAGAAAAAUGUUGCCCUUUCACACUCACAGUGUAAAUACAUUCAUAAUAUUCCUUCAAUCAUCUAAAUUACCGCCAGGUCAUGAAAGGACGCGAUCAAUGAUGACCUAUUGCACUCACAGGUAACAUUGACUCAAAUUUUGGCAAUAUUGCUAUAUUAUCUAGAUAAUUCUUGUGAUGUUUUUAUGUCACUAUCAACAUUAAAAAUAUUUUGUUAAACAACUAUGAAACUUUCAAAAGUUUGCAUAUAACUGUAUGGGCACUCUCAUUUCACUGCAUACAUACAAUACUUUGUAUACACAUACUUCUCGUGUGGAUAUUUUAUAAUUUUAUUUAAUCUAACAUUUAACUUUUAGGUUUUUGUGGUACUCAUCUGAAAGGUUGGCAUUUGUUUUCUUUUUAUGUUAUAUAUGUAUUUUAGAUGAAUCAAUAAUGUGUAUUCCUAGAAAUUUUUUCUAGGCAUAAAUAGAUCAUUUUAUGUUGGCAUUUAAGAGAUAUCAUUUUUGUUUUAUUGUUCUGUGUAAACCAUAUUCAUU